GACGAACGCUGGCGGCGUGCUUAACACAUGCCAGUCGAACGGAAAGGCCCUGCUUUUGUUGGGUGCUCGAGUGGCGAACGGGUGAGUAACCCGUGAGUAACCUGCCCUUGACUUUGGGAUAACUUCAGGAAACUGGGGCUAAUACCGGAUAGGAGCUCCUGCUGCAUGGUGGGGGUUGGAAAGUUUGGGCGGUUGGGGAUGGACUCGCGGCUUAUCAGCUUGUUGGUGGGGUAGUGGCUUACCAAGGCUUUGACGGGUAGCCGGCCUGAGAGGGUGACCGGCCACAUUGGGACUGAGAUACGGCCCAGACUCCUACGGGAGGCAGCAGUGGGGAAUAUUGCACAAUGGGCGGAAGCCUGAUGCAGCAACGCCGCGUGCGGGAUGACGGCCUUCGGGUUGUAAACCGCUUUCGCCUGUGACGAAGCGUGAGUGACGGUAAUGGGUAAAGAAGCACCGGCUAACUACGUG
rnacentral:rRNA from 1 species